AGAUACUCUGCGUAAUUGGUGAUUUCUGAUUGCCUCACUGAAAGUCUUGUCUUGAUACUGGCGAUAAUCACUGCCUGAUGAGAACAUUUCACUCUCCAGCAUGUGUAGUCAUAAUUAUUUUAGAUUCCUAUGUAAAGUUAAUCAACCCUGAAGGGGGACUCCCUGCCUGUCGCCGUAGAGGUAACAGCUAACGUUUCUGCUAUUUGAUUUCAUUUGAUCUCUGUUGAGGGAGAAAUCAUCUUCUGUUUACAAAACUAGCCUGCAAAAUUGGACCUGUUAUGUGAAGUAGAAUCUGCAUCUCUGGCAGAUGACUGCGCCUGGUUAUUAAUGCGUGCUGAGUAGCAUCCUCAUGGAAGAACAGUUCCUCUGAUCGAAAGAAGUGUGCUCCAGGAUCUUCUACAAUGGAUAUUAGAACUGUACGACUAUAGGUAUCGCUCAAUCAACAUUUAAAGAUUUGUAAGGAAACCUAUGAUUUGAACAUUAAUAAGCGCACAGUCAGGGGUGCUGCCCAGGAUCGGAUACUAUUCAGUGAAACCAAUAAAUAGAGUAAUGAAAAUAUUAUCAAGCUCCUGUCAGGUAUCCCAAGCCCUGCAUUGAUGUCACUUGGAAUAGAAAUAAUGUCAAGACAACUGCAAAGUCUUUCAUACAACAUCUUAUGGUGCCAAGUCAGGGGACAGGCUCAGUGGAUGGAGUGCUCACCCUGCAAGUGUAAUGGCUGGAACUCAGAUCCCUGGCAUCUGUAUAAAAGCUAAGCAUGGCAUGCACCCCUGUAAUCUCAGCACUGGGGAAGGGAGAUGUCUGGGCUGGUUGGCCAGACAGUCCAGGCAAUCAGUGAGCUCCAGGUUCAAUGAGACUCCCAGCCUCAAAAACUAAGGUAGAGAUUGAGAAUGAUACUCAGCAUCUACCCUCUGUGCACAUGCUUGCACACACACACACACACACACACACACACACACACACAAACACACACAUACACACACUUCUCCUAAUUAACAAGCUGCACCUAAUGCUGAAACUUAAGUCAUUAUUAUUCUAAAACAAGAAAUGAUCAUCAGAAUUCUAUCGACCACUGAUUUUUAAGAACACAAUUUGAGUUUUAAACCUUGUCAGGAUGUUAAGUUCAUUACACUGUAGUUGUAGUCACAAGCUAAGCAAUGGGAAAGCAUCUUUGCAUCUCUGCAUGAACUGGUAGCAUCAUAUUUAGUAGCUCUGUGGUACUUAUUUGUUAGUAAACUGCCCUGUGCCCCGCUUACCAUAACAGGGUGGACCUGACAGAACUACGAGUACUGUGACCUGCUUAGAAUAGUUCCUGAAAUUUAGUUAAUUUCUAGAAAUGUGUUAUUUGAUUUUCCUCCAGCUCAGUUAAUGGAGUAGCUCCACACAUAUGGUAAAAAUUAGACUAGCCAGCAGGACACAAGCAAUGAGAAUUAGCCUCAGCCUUGGGAAGACUGAGUCUGGCUCCUAUUAUUGCCUCUGAAGUGGUCAGCUAAGCAGGGACUCAGAGCCACAGGGCAAAGGGUCCUUUCUGGGUUGUCCUUUCCUCCCUUGUCAUAGAAAUUCAUUCUGUAAAAUUGAACUUUGUGGGUUUUAGCACCCUUUCUACCCCAACAAUUCUGCCAGAUCAUGAUGUGAUUCUGCUGUGUCCAUAACUGAAGACAUAGCUUUUAUUUACCUGUUUGUUGUUUGUUUGCUUGUUUUUGUCACCCCCCCUAUUUGAUUAGAAAUGCCUUGUUUUCAACCAGUGUUACAGGAGGGACCCUGCUGCAGACGAUUCCUCACACAGAACUUCUCCUGGAAAUUGACUCUCAUAAUAGUAGACUCUGAUGCUCAGAAAAUUUUGACCUUUAAUCAUGUAGUCUAAAUAAUACCCUCAAACAAAACAGAACAAAACCACAACAACAAAACCCUACAGAGCUUUGCAUUGCUUUGAAUAAAUGAUAAAAUAAAUCUAUUGUGAUUCAUUAAAGAAGAAGUCAAAUAUGUAGCCAU
rnacentral:lncRNA from 1 species